GACGAACGCGGCGGCGUGCUUAACACAUGCAAGUCGAACGGUGAAGCGCUUGCCUUUUUGGUGGGUGUGGAUGAGUGGCGAACGGGUGAGUAACACGUGAGUAACCUGCCCUCUUCUUCUGGAUAACCUCAUGAAAGUGGGGCUAAUACGGGGUAUUCCGGGUCUGUCGCAUGGCGGGUUUGGGAAAGAUUGCGCCUUUGGGUGUUUUCGGUGGGGGAUGGGCUCGCGGCCUAUCAGCUUGUCGGUGGGGUGAUGGCCUACCAAGGCGGUGACGGGUAGCCGGCCUGAGAGGGUGGACGGCCACACUGGGACUGAGACACGGCCCAGACUCCUGCGGGAGGCAGCAGUGGGGAAUAUUGCACAAUGGGCGCAAGCCUGAUGCAGCGACGCCGCGUGAGGGAUGGAGGCCUUCGGGUUGUGAACCUCUUUCGCCAGUGAAGCAGGCUUGCCUCGUUUGUGGGUGGGUGAACGGUAAGCUGGAUAAAAAAGC
rnacentral:rRNA from 1 species